rnacentral:miRNA from 1 species
AUUAGGUUGGUGCAAAAGUAAUUGCGGUUUUUGCCAUUGUUUUUAUUGACAAAAACUGCAAUUACUUUUGCAUCAACUUAAUA